rnacentral:misc_RNA from 1 species
AUUAUUGGCAUCUCCAAAGUUUGUAAAACAUCUUUAAACUCAAACUCACUUGUUUCUCUGUUAAAGCGCUCCACUAGUUUGUACCUGACAUCAUUCAAGUAAAAUGAUUGUAUGGUGUCCAAAAGCCAUUUUGCCUCCGAGUCUGUGAGCUUGCUAGUAAAGACAAUGUCCCCUCGAACAAGAACUAGAUCCUUGCUUUCAGCAAACUCAGUGUAGUAAGAAACUGUGAAGUAUGGAGCAGCUUGAGUUCCUCUUGCUUUGUAAUCUUCAAGACCUGUGAUUAGAAUGUGGGGUGCCUGCACUUGCACAAACAUUGUUGUGUAACCACUUCCCUUCCAUAGCGGAAUCACAAAAUACCGGCAACUUGAAGCUCUUUGCUCCAAGAGCUUAUAUAGCUUAGAUUUCAUUGAUGCUGCAAUGUGACCUCUUCCCAAGUGAUAAUCA